GGUCAAUGAUGUAUUGGCAUGUAUUACCUGAAUUUACUGCUGAUGUGUAAAGCUUAGCUCUAGAAUUACACUGAGACCUU